rnacentral:rRNA from 1 species
UACGGGGGGUGCGAGCGUUGUCCGGAAUCACUGGGCGUAAAGGGCGCGUAGGCGGCCUGAUAAGUAGGGGGUGAAAUCCUGCGGCUUAACCGCAGGGCUGCCUUCUAAACUGUCAGGCUCGAGCACAGUAGAGGCAGGUGGAAUUCCCGGUGUAGCGGUGGAAUGCGUAGAGAUCGGGAAGAACAUCAGUGGCGAAGGCGGCCUGCUGGGCUGUUGCUGACGCUGAGGCGCGAAAGCGUGGGGAGCGAACAGG